rnacentral:rRNA from 1 species
GACGAACGCUGGCGGCGUGCUUAACACAUGCAAGUCGAACGGUGACGAGGAGCUUGCUCCUCCGAUCAGUGGCGAACGGGUGAGUAACACGUGAGUAACCUGCCCCAGACUCUGGAAUAACAGUUGGAAACAGCUGCUAAUACCGGAUACGAGACGGAGAGGCAUCUCUACCGUCUGGAAAGUUUUUCGGUCUGGGAUGGACUCGCGGCCUAUCAGCUUGUUGGUGAGGUAAUGGCUCACCAAGGCGACGACGGGUAGCCGGCCUGAGAGGGCGACCGGCCACACUGGGGCUGAGACACGGCCCAGACUCCUACGGGAGGCAGCAGUGGGGAAUAUUGCACAAUGGGCGAAAGCCUGAUGCAGCAACGCCGCGUGAGGGAUGACGGCCUUCGGUUGUAAACCGUCUUCUAGUAGGAAGAAGCG